CAGAAUAAAAAAUGGGUACACACAGGCAGGCAGAAGCAUUGAACGGUGGCGGUGGUGAGAUUGAAUUGCUUAGUAUCAGGAAAAAGAGCAUACUAGGACGUGUCAAUUAGCAAAAGAACCGAGUCUCCUUCCGUCACUGUCAAGUGUCAAAUAGCAAAGAGCAACCAACUUGCUCAUAUUCUUUUAAUUUCUCAUCCUGCUCCCCAAACCCUAGCGUCCACCAGAUGAACCCCUACGACAAUAGAUACUCCGACGCCGCUUCUUUCCGCGGCCGUCGCAGUGAUUUCGCUGGAUCUAUUCCGCCGCCGUCUUUCGUCAGCCGCGGCGGCGCGGUUCCCUAUGGAGCACCGUACGGCGUCGCUAGACCCAACGGUUUCGGAUCCGCACCCGUUACCCCGGUUCCACCCUUUGUGCCUCCUCCUGGGGGCUUUAGUGUAGGCCGAGGCGGUGGUAGAGUGGGCAAUGGUCACGUGAGUGAUAGAAAAUAUGACGUAGGUCGUGGCGGUGGAAGAGGCCGCGGUGGUGGUGGUGGUGGUGGUAGCAGCAGAGCCGGAGCUCACGGUUUUAGGGGCUCCGGAAGAGGAGGUAGACAUGGUGGUGGAUCUUCUAGGGACGAGUUGAACAACAUUGCACUCCCGAAGCAGGAUUUCAGGAAUUUAGUCCCUUUUGAGAAGAACUUCUACGUUGAGUGCCAUGCGGUGAGGGCCAUGUCUGAUCAAGAAGUUAUGCAUUACCGAGCCAGUAGAGAGAUCACCGUGCAAGGGCAGGAUGUGCCGAAGCCUGUACGCAUGUUUCAUGAGGCCAAUUUUCCUGAUUACUGCCUUGAGGUCAUUGCCAAACUGGGAUUUGCUGAGCCCACUCCAAUUCAGGCUCAGGGUUGGCCCAUGGCUCUGAAGGGUAGAGAUUUAAUUGGCAUUGCUGAGACUGGCUCGGGUAAAACUUUGGCGUAUUUGCUUCCUGCUUUAGUGCACGUCAAUGCACAACCUCGAUUGGCACAAGGGGAUGGUCCCAUUGUCUUAGUUUUAGCACCAACUAGAGAGUUAGCUGUUCAAAUCCAAGAAGAGGCUCUUAAAUUUGGGUCUCGUGCAAAUAUUAGAAGUACAUGUGUUUAUGGUGGUGCACCAAAGGGUCCCCAAAUUCGCGAGCUUAGAAGAGGUGUUGAGAUUGUUAUUGCUACACCUGGCCGUCUAAUAGAUAUGUUGGAAGCUCAGCACACAAACCUCCAUAGAGUGACUUACCUUGUGUUGGAUGAAGCUGAUCGAAUGCUGGACAUGGGUUUUGAACCUCAAAUACGGAAAAUUAUAGGCCAGAUUCGACCAGAUAGGCAAACAUUAUUAUGGAGUGCUACAUGGCCAAGGGAGGUUGAAACUCUUGCAAGGCAGUUUCUGCGCAACCCAUACAAGGUAGUUAUUGGAUCGCCAGACCUGAAGGCAAAUCAUUCUAUAAAUCAAAUUGUUGAAGUUAUAACAGACAUGGAGAAAUACAAUAGAUUAAUCAGAUUGCUGAAAGAAGUGAUGGAUGGGAGCCGAAUUCUUAUAUUUAUGGAGACAAAGAGGGGAUGUGAUCAAGUUACGAGACAAAUGAGAAUGGAUGGAUGGCCAGCAUUGUCCAUCCAUGGUGAUAAAAACCAGUCUGAAAGGGAUUGGGUCUUGGCUGAAUUUAAGAGUGGCAGAAGUCCAAUAAUGACUGCCACUGAUGUUGCUGCACGGGGUCUUGGUAGGAUCACUGUGUGUUUAGAAGCUUAGGAUUUUUGAUCUAGGUAUCUAGGUCUAAAACUUUAACCAUAGGGCGAGUCGGCCGGCUGCUGUCCAGUUUCCCUUGAUAUAAUUUGUGGUUUGGGUGUCUGGGGGGCCAUAUUGUCAGUGUGUUGGAACUUCCUGUAACUUGACCAAGGGAUUAAUGACUUGAAUGAGAUGAAAUUGUUUUGCUGCAGUCAGUAGACAGCCUGCUGCUGUUAAUUUGGGAACUAUCUUUUUUACAUGUGUCAAGUUAUAUGGAUGCCUGGGUCGGAGUUCCUUUGAUAUGUCUUGGAUGUUGAUCUAUAACUUCUAAGGUAGCAUAUCAUGUGUGAUCCUGUAAAUUUCAUAGGAUGGGUUAAUGCAUGGCAAUUUGCAUGAGUGGCUAAACAAGGUUAGCUAACAAUAAUUUGCUAGUGUUGCACGAAGAGAUAUUAGUCACAUGACUGUCAUCCGCAUUUUAAGAACAUAGUCAAAUUGAUUGAUCCCCAUCCACAGUUAUGGAGCUGGUUGUCUUUGCAGCCUGGUUGACUCAUACAUGCUUAGUCAGUAAUUGGAUGUGGUAGAUGGCAUGAUGGUGAAGCUGCUCCUUAUCCCUGGAAGGUUAAGAUGUGAAAGACAUAAAAUGUGUGAUCAAUUAUGAUUUUCCAUCAAGCCUGGAAGAUUAUGUCCACAGAAUUGGUCGAACUGGUCGUGCUGGGGCUAAAGGAACUGCAUACACCUUUUUUACACAUGCCAAUGCCAAAUUUGCUAG